AAUGUUAAGUAAAUUGUCCACGGUCACCCAGCUAGUAAAGGCAGCAAAUGGUGGAACGGAAGUUUCAACCCAGUGGUCUAGGUGGCUUGCUUGGUACCACAGUGCUGAAAAAUACCCAUUAGUGGGAUAAGUAAAGCAUCAUGCAAGGGUGGGAGAUUCAAAGGUGUGAUUACAGCCGGAGUAAAGGAUGAGAACAGGAUUUUAUGGAGGACGUGAAUUGUGACAUGGGAGGGAUUAAACACAGUGAGACAGAAGCAUGAUACAAACAGUUCCCUGUUGCCAGGCACUGAAUGCUUGUGUUCUCUCCAAAUCCAUUUUGCAUUUUGCUAAUAUUGUGCUAAUUGUACAUAGUUAUCACUAAAAUUGCCGUUGACUUCCAUUCAUAUCUUUGGCAAUCCUUUCAUUAUUUACUUGAGCCAGCAAGGUGGACACAUUAUGUCCUAUUCAGUUCAACCUGACCCAGCGCAGAUGCGAGGUCAGGCUGCAGGGUAGGAGUGGGCUGCGACUUCCCAUCUUCUAGCUGAGCGUGGGCUGCCUCCCGGAGAGGUUCCAGGCUCCAGAUCCCUGAGCUGGCAUCCCAGGAGUUCAACUCAGAGGCACAGUCUCAUUUUCAGAGGUGUUACAUCUGCAUAAUAAUACAGUGGGGAGAUCAGCAGCUCAGGUAAGUCACAUAAGUUUGUACCUCUGCCCAAACAAACACUUGCUCCCUUCCCCCGGGCCCCAUCUUCCUCUUACAACCGUCCUGUGGGAUCUGAGUCUUUCUCACGCCUCCUCCCUGUAUUGCAUCUCGUGUUCAGAAGUCACUCGCCCUGCAGCUGUUUCACUCUCUCCUACCUCUGUGUGCCUUCCUUAGGGACAGAAGGCUUAGCUGUGGCAGUGGAGAAGGCCAGGGACCUCAGCCUUGGGUGACCCGGGCUGCACUCCUGUUUCUGUACCUUUGGAAGACAAGCGACAGCCGCCCCUGCCUCUUCUCUCCUCCCUCCUCUUCACCUCCAAGGAUUCUCUCCGCACCAUGGACAGAGUAUUCAUGGAAAACAAAGAAUUUGCUAUUUUUUAAAUCUAAAAACAAGGAGGAGAAGAACCUGGCACCCCCCACCCCUACCUGAGCUUAUACAUACACAGCAGAAGAGAACAGAGGCUGCUCAAAGACAUGGAUUGCAGAAGUUUCUCUCCAGUGAUUGUGGGAGCAGAAGAAGACAUCCUUCGAGAUGGAUGUUUGAAACUGUAGCUGGUCUCAAAGGUGUCCCUAGCUACCAGAGACAAUGAAUGGCUUCAUCUCUUUGGUCUCCGAGCCUAUACUCAUUGUUUGAGCCUGUGGGAAGCUGCUGCUCUCUCUGGCUCAGCAUAUUCAGGAGGUGGGGACAAACCUAGUCUCUCUACAUGCACAGUCCCAAUUAAUCAAGAUGACAAUUGUUCCUUGACCUCCUUCUGUCUGAAGUUCCCCAGAGUCACUCUCAUUUCCAUACUGCUUCUGGCCAGUAUGGCGUCUCUGGCCUCAUUUCACCAAGAAUAUAAUCCUAUCUACAUUAUUAUCUUUUCUUUGUAAUUCUUUUUUCUUCUUCUUUUUUAAAUUUAUUUACUUAUUUUGAGAGAGAGAAAAAGGGCACACGUGAGCUGGGGAGCAGCAGAGAGAGAGAGAGAGAGGGAGAGAGAGAAUCCCAAACAGGCUCUACACUCAGCAUGGAACAUGACUUGGGGCUCAAUC
rnacentral:lncRNA from 1 species